CCUACGGGAGGCAGCAGUGGGGAAUAUUGGGCAAUGGGCGCAAGCCUGACCCAGCAACGCCGCGUGAAGGAAGAAGGCUUUCGGGUUGUAAACUUCUUUUAAGCGGGAAGAGCAGAAGACGGUACCUCUUGAAUCAGCCACGGCUAACUACGUGCCAGCAGCCGCGGUCAUACGUAGGUGGCAAGCGUUGUCCGGAUUUACUGGGUGUAAAGGGCGUGCAGCCGGGAAGACAAGUCAGAUGUGAAAUCCCGCGGCUCAACCGCGGAACUGCAGUUGAAACUGUUUUUCUUGAGUACCGGAGAGGUCAUCGGAAUUCCUUGUGUAGCGGUGAAAUGCGUAGAUAUAAGGAAGAACACCAGUGGCGAAGGCGGAAGACUGGACGGCAACUGACGGUGAGGCGCGAAAGCGUGGGGAGCGAACAGGAUUAGAUACCCGGGUAGUC
rnacentral:rRNA from 1 species